rnacentral:ncRNA from 1 species
UUAUUAGUGGGGCAAAAUCAUCGAAAGAUGGUGACGCAAAGCUAUAGGGACUUCUUCCGAUAUGGAAUGUCAGCCAGCUACCAUC